rnacentral:rRNA from 1 species
UUGGUUUUUAGUUGGGGCAACUUCGGAGCAUAAAACAACCUCCGACAAAAAGUCAAGACUAACAAGUCUAAACAAACAACUUACUUGACCCAAUACUCUAAAUAUGAGUGUUUGAUCAAUGAACCAAGUUACCCCAGGGAUAACAGCGCUAUCCCCCUUUAGAGUCCCUAUCGACAGGGGGGCUUACGACCUCGAUGUUGGAUCAGGACACCCCAAUAAUGCAGCCGUUAUUAAAGGUUCGUUUGUUCAACGAUUAAAGUCCU